rnacentral:tRNA from 1 species
UAGCUCAGUCAGCUGAGUGUGGCGCUGAGAAUGCCAAGGUUGUGGGUUCAAUUCCUGC